rnacentral:rRNA from 1 species
AUGGAUGAGGUCACAAGGGAUAUACAAGGAGAUAUCCCAUGGUGUAUGCUCUUUGCGAAUGAUGUGGUGCUAGUUGACGAUAGUCGAACGGGGGUAAAUAGGAAGUUAGAGUUAUGGAGACAAACCUUGGAAUCGGAAGGGUUUAGGCUUAGUAGAACUAAAACCGAGUACAUGAUGUGCGGUUUCAAUACUCCUAGGUGUGAGGAGGAGGUUAGCCUUGAUGGGCAGGUGGUACCUCAGAAGGACACCUUUCGAUAUUUGGGGUCAAUGCUGCAGGAGGAUGGGGGUAUUGAUGAAGAUGUGAACCAUCGAAUCAAAGCCGGAUGGAUGAAGUGGCGCCAAGCUUCUGGCAUUCUCUGUGACAAGAGAGUGCCACAAAAGCUAAAAGGCAAGUUCUACAGGACGGCUAUUCGACCCGCAAUGUUGUAUGGCGCUGAGUGUUGGCCGACUAAAAGGCGACAUGUUCAACAGUUAGGUGUGGCGGAAAUGCGUAUGUUGAGAUGGAUGUGUGGCCACACGAGGAAGGAUAGAGUCCGGAAUGAUGAUAUACGAGAUAGAGUUUGGGUAGCACCAAUUGAAGAGAAGCUUGUCCAACAUCGUCUGAGAUGGUUUGGGCAUAUUUAG